AACAAACGCUGGCGGCGUGCCUAACACAUGCAAGUCGUACGAGAAAGUCGGCUUCGGCCGAUGAGUACAGUGGCGCACGGGUGAGUAGCGCGUGGGUAAUCUGCCCCCCGGUCAGGAAUAACCCGCCGAAAGGCGGGCUAAUACCCGAUAACACUGACGCUCCGCGGAGCGUCUUUCAAAGAAGGCCUCUGUUUACAAGCUUUCGCCGGAGGAUGAGCCCGCGUACCAUUAGCUAGUUGGCAGGGUAAUGGCCUACCAAGGCUACGAUGGUUAGCUGGUCUGAGAGGAUGGCCAGCCACACUGGAACUGAGACACGGUCCAGACUCCUACGGGAGGCAGCAGUGAGGAAUCUUGCGCAAGUCGGGGGAAACCCUGACGCAGCAACGCCGCGUGAGUGAGGAAGGCCGUUCGGGUACGUAAAGCUCUGUCAGAGUGGGAAAGAAAUGGAUGGGGGCUAAUAUCGCCCAUCCUUGACGGUACCAUCAGAGGAAGCACCGGCUAACUCCGUG
rnacentral:rRNA from 1 species